rnacentral:rRNA from 1 species
UACGAAGGGGGCUAGCGUUGCUCGGAAUCACUGGGCGUAAAGCGCACGUAGGCGGAUCUUUAAGUCAGAGGUGAAAUCCCAAGGCUCAACCUUGGAACUGCCUUUGAUACUGGGGAUCUCGAGUCCGGAAGAGGUUGGUGGAACUCCGAGUGUAGAGGUGAAAUUCGUAGAUAUUCGGAAGAACACCAGUGGCGAAGGCGGCCAACUGGGCCGGCACUGACGCUGAGGUGCGAAAGCGUGGGGAGCAAACAGG